rnacentral:rRNA from 1 species
UACGUAGGGAGCAAGCGUUGUCCGGAAUCAUUGGGCGUAAAGCGCGCGUAGGCGGCCCUGUAAGUCCGUUGUGAAAGUCAAAGGCUCAACCUUUGAAAGCCGAUGGAUACUGCAGGGCUAGAGUCCGGAAGAGGCGAGUGGAAUUCCUGGUGUAGCGGUGAAAUGCGCAGAUAUCAGGAGGAACACCUAUUGCGAAGGCAGCUCGCUGGGACGUUACUGACGCUGAGACGCGAAAGCGUGGGGAGCAAACAGG